rnacentral:rRNA from 1 species
GUUGAUCUGGCUCAGGAUGAACGCUAGCUACAGGCUAACACAUGCAAGGUCGAGGGGCAGCAUGAUCUAGCUGCUAGAAUGAUGGCGACCGGCGCACGGGUGAGUAACGCGUAUCCAACCUUCCCUAUAGUAGAGGAUAGCCCGGCGAAAGUCGGAUUAAUACUCUAUGUUGUUCAAUGCGGACAUCUAAGUUGAACCAAAGGUUUACCGCUAUAGGAUGGGGAUGCGUCUGAUUAGAUGGUAGGCGGGGUAACGGCCCACCUAGUCGACGAUCAGUAGGGGUUCUGAGAGGAAGGUCCCCCACAUUGGAACUGAGACACGGUCCAAACUCCUACGGGAGGCAGCAGUGAGGAAUAUUGGUCAAUGGGCGAGAGCCUGAACCAGCCAAGUAGCGUGCAGGAUGACGGCCCUAUGGGUUGUAAACUGCUUUUAUAUAGGGAUAAAGUGCACUACGUGUAGUGUUUUGUAGGUACUAUAUGAAUAAGGACCGGCUAAUUCCGUGCCAGCCGCUGC